rnacentral:lncRNA from 1 species
ACGGAUUGAGUAAAAAAUAUGAAUUAAAUUGUACUGACAUAGGGAAACAAUAAAAGAUCAUGAGAGUUAGAUUUACAUUGAAAUCAAUUUUCAAUAUUCAAAUACAAUUUAAACAAGUUAAGCUACUAUUAAACAUAUUAAAUCAUAAAAGGCAUGUAACUAAUCAAGAAAAAUAUGGAUAGGAUUUUUAAGAGAUUCUACAUAGAAGACUUAGUCUAACAAAACUGGUUUCAUUAUUUUAUGACAGUUCUUCUAAUUAAUAUGCAAAUAGGAAGAUUCAUCUAGCAAACAUGAACUAAUUCUAAAACAGUAUGAACAGUACAGUUUUCACGAGUUCAAGUUCCAGAUUUAGUUCAUGCAUGACACCAGUAAACUAACGAAACUAGUUUAACCAUUUUUGGAGCAGUAUAUGCUUUAAUAAGCAUUUAACAAGGUUAGCACAUAAUAAAUCCUACAGCCAGAUCUACAACAUUUACAUGCUCAAAGUCAUUUUUGUAUGAAUCUAGACUUCACCAGGAAACUAACCGGAAUUAAGUUUAUAUUAGUAUAAUGUUUUUGAGAGUUUAUGUGGAUUUCAAAAAUUCACAGAUGAUUUCAAAGAUAAAUAGCAAACUAACUUUGCAAUGAGACCCUUGGAAACAUCUUUCUUUAACAGAUAUACCCUUUCUAAUUUCACAGAACAGCCCUUAGAUCUUCCGCUUACCCCCCUAGAAGAAUUCCCACUUUGCACUUAAACCCAAACUGUUCCAGAUAACCCCUGUCCUUUCUUUUCUUUCACACAUCUGCCCUCCCCCCUUCAUCUUCCUCCAGCCGCGCUCAUGUGCACAUGGCGAGCGGCAGCAACGCGGCACCAUCGGCUCGGAGGCUUCACCUCCUACUCCGUUGACUACCCCGCAGGCUCCCCUACGUCUAGGCACAUCUCCUCCCCUACUUCUUACUCCAAAACCCUAAC